UCAGUGCGUACUCAGUGAUUCAGAAUCGUCCGCCCGAUAUCAACUGACGACGGCUUAGUUAGCACCCGACUAUGGCUGAACAGAUAGCAGAUAUGGUGGCAUCAUUGUUAUCUUUUUUUAGAACUGCAUGAAGAUUGCAUUGAGACAAACUUGAAGCUGCAAUUCCAAUUGACAAACGUCAAAACCAUAAAGCGAAACAAAAAUAGUGACAAUGGCGAACGGUGCAAGCAGCUCAUUUAUCCAGAGAUCGGAAAUUUAUUUGAGCAUCCUGAAAUCGAUUGCAUCGAUACAGUAACAGGGAACAUCUCUCGGAUCAUUUUGUUAUUAAAUUAAAAAUCUAAAAUAAAAUAAAAUAAAAAUCUAAAAUAAAAAGGAGUCCCUAGAAUUUAUUGCAAAUUUAUAUAAUUAU